AACGGGAGGGGCAAGCGUUAUUCGAAAUGACUGGGCGUAAAGGGUUCGUAGACGGUAAUAAAAGUUAUUUGUUAAAUUUUAAAGCUUAACUUUAAGUCGGCAAAUAAUACUAUUUUACUUGAGUUUUUUUCAAAAGAAUGGAAUUUUAUAUUUAGGGGUAAAACCUGUAGAGAUAUAAAGGAAUACCAGUAAAAGCGAAGGCGAUUCUUUAGUAAAAACUGACGUUGAGGAACGAAAGCAUAGGGAGCAAACAGG
rnacentral:rRNA from 1 species